AGGGCUCUACGUUAAAAACAAAAAUGACUUGCCCAUGGGGAAUCCUUAAGGUGAGGCACUGCAGUACUCCCCUCCCUGGAAGGAUGGGAGCGUACAUGAGCUGGGUUGUUGCCAUGUUUCAGUCAAGGAAGUCAAGUGGUCAAUGAGGAGAUGGUGGAUAAGGAGAAUUGGGCGAGGCUGGCGUUGUGAUCAACAAUCCGGCCUGAGUUACCGCAAUGGGGACAAAUGACAGAACAUCAAUGGAGGACAGAUCAAGAAGGACCAGUGCUCACUUCGCAGCUGACUUGCACUCAGCAUCAUGCCAACCAGCAUCCAGCAGAAGACGUCAUGACGCUUCAUGGGAUGGCCUGGGGAUCCGGCAAAGUCUGCUCAUUGCCUUCAUUGAUCUCAAGGCUGACUUUGACACGGCCCACUGACUCUCAUUGUGGAACCUCCGUGGCCGCGUCCUUCCACUAAAGCUAAGCAGGCUCUUUACGAUGCUGAAUGAUAUUGCAGAGACCUUUCAUGCUGGCCCCACCCCCCAUCACAAGCCUCCGUCCAGGUUUGGGAUGGAAAAGGAAGCAGCCUCCUGUCACACCAGCAGAGACUGACAAGAAAGAGGGUGAAUUCUGACAUCUAAUUGGUGUUUGCUCCAAUUGGCAUUCACUGAACAAUUACUGACCUAGUGGCCAAUGUAGAGUACUACAUUCACAAUUACAAUUCUUCCUCCACCUUGUAUUUGUAUUUUAGCACAUUUAAUUACACAAUUUCUAUGAAAGGACAAUCACAUCUAUUUGAUGCAACUUUCACCUACAAUUUUAUUGUCAUAGACACCUCAAAAAACACUGCAACAUCUAUUGCUAUUUGGGGUAAAAACAAAACAAUAACCCCCAGGGCAUUAAUAUACAGCAGGGGUCGGCAAAUGUUUUGACUCGCAGUCGUAUUGCUUUAACAAAAUUUAUGGGGGGCCAGACUAUAUAUUUUACACGUAACAGUCCAUAUAUGUAAAAGUGUGUGUUGUGUCCCCUUUUUUCAGGAGCACUUUGUAAACAGUCGACCACAUCAAAUAACGACAUUGAUAAAACAGCUACUUAAACCAUCAAAAGGUUGGCUUAAGCCAUGAUGCCAGGUUGUAUGUUAAGUUUAAAUUAAAUACUUUGGAAAGAACAGGCAGGCCGUAUUCAAACACUUGGCGACCCGGAUGUGGCCCCCGGGCCAUAGUUUGCCCACCCCGAUAUACAGUGUAGGAGAAGAUGUAGUGCUAAUGCCUGACUAUAAAGGCUCCACUGGCGUUUAGUGCUACUUUUUCUAGCUAACUAAACCUGGGGUGUUUGUUAUUCAUCUGAAGGCAACAAGCACCAUGGAUGUCUAACACAUGAUAUCUAGCUGCAGCAAUCAGCCCAAUGCAGGGAAGGAGCAAGGUGUGAUUGGGAAUCUGUUUUCAUGGGAAGAUGGGAAUCGAUUGCCAAGACGCGAGUCUUCCCAGCAACAUGGUUAACAGAAACGUCUGCCCAGAGAAAUGAGUAAUUACAAGAGCCCCCGCAGAUGACCCUGGCUUUCUUCUUGAUCAUCAGUGCUCAUAAUGAAGAAGAAUCCAUAGGUGUGUUGGGUUAAAAUCCUCAGCAACCUCAUCACUGAGCUACUGUGGCAGGAGCUACUGUGUGACACUACUGCCCUCCAGUGGACAAAAUGUAUGUUUACAGUCCAAUUUUAUUGUCAUAGACACCUCAUGAAAGCCUGCAGCUUCUAUUGCAGUCAAAUACAGUAUCUCUAUGGAUAAAAGUGGACCAACAAUAAUACGAAAACAUUUGGCCUAUAUUUUUAUAAACUGAUGGACUUCCCCA